AGGUUGAAAAUACUAAGGCGUUCGGGUGAACUGUGGUUAAGGAACUCGGCAAAAUGCCCCCGUAACUUCGGGAGAAGGGGGGCCGGACACGUGACACCACUUGCUGGUGGAAGCGUUGAUGGCCGCAGAGACCAGGCCCAAGCGACUGUUUACUAAAAACACAGGUCCAUGCGAAGUCGUAAGACGAUGUAUACGGACUGACUCCUGCCCGGUGCUGGAAGGUUAAGGGGAACUGUGAGUGUAUGCGUAGCGGUGAACUUAAGCCCCAGUAAACGGCGGUGGCAACUAUAACCAUCCUAAGGUAGCGAAAUUCCUUGUCGGGUAAGUUCC
rnacentral:rRNA from 13 species